rnacentral:rRNA from 1 species
AAUGAACGCUGGCGGCAUGCCUUACACAUGCAAGUCGAACGGCAGCAUGACCUAGCUUGCUAGGUUGAUGGCGAGUGGCGAACGGGUGAGUAAUGCAUCGGAACGUGCCUUUUAGUGGGGGAUAACGUAGCGAAAGUUACGCUAAUACCGCAUAUUCUCUGAGGAGGAAAGCAGGGGACCUUCGGGCCUUGCGCUAGAAGAGCGGCCGAUGUCGGAUUAGCUAGUUGGUGAGGUAAAGGCUCACCAAGGCAACGAUCCGUAGCGGGUCUGAGAGGAUGAUCCGCCACACUGGGACUGAGACACGGCCCAGACUCCUACGGGAGGCAGCAGUGGGGAAUUUUGGACAAAGGGCGCAAGCCUGAUCCAGCCAUGCCGCGUGAGUGAAGAAGGCCUUCGGGUUGUAAAGCUCUUUCGGCUGGGAAGAAAUCGCACCCUCUAAUACAGGGUGUGGAUGACGGUACCAGCAGAAGAAGCACCGGCUAACUACGUG